UCCUUCUCCGUGAACAACAUUAGGUUUCGUUUACAAAUUUCUGUGGUCUGUGCUUCGGGUCCGAGUCUCAUCUACAGUGACAACAUUGAACUUCUUCCACAGUUUCCGGUUUCCAGUUUCCACCACCACAUCUACGUUAGGGUUCGUCUUCAUUUCGAUUUGAAGAGUUGAACUACACCAUGGCAACUCUGCAAUCCUUGCGACCUUCUUUCCGCCCAACAUCAAUCUCUCCCUCAAAUUCUUACACUUUCCCUGCCACUCCCUUUAAUUAUUCCCCCAAAUUGAUUGCCUCAAAGGGUGUCACUGUCACCCUAAGACACUCUAUCAUUUCUCCUAGGGUUUCCAAUUCCCACUAUAGUCCCCAAAUCGCGGAAAGUCUCGGUGAAGUUAGCAUUUUCACCGCUGCCGGAGAGCCAGUGAGAUUCAGUGACCUCUGGGAUCAGAAAUUCAGAAUGAGGAUGAAAGGCUGGCUACCUUGAGUUAUAAACAGGAUUAUGCAAAUCAUGGAUUGGCAUAUCUCAUCGACUUUGUACAUGGAAAAGCACGGAAAAUGCCUGAAAUUUUGUAGCUGGAGCAACAGAAACUUCCAGGGAAGUCCCCUAAUUUGCUCACAUAUAAAGGAACUCCAAAUCUGAAGGUGUUCUUCUACCUUGUUCUUUGUUU